CUAUCGCGGGUCGCGGCUGCUCCAUCCCCACAGCGCCGCCUUAACUUGCUCCACCGGAACCGCAGCAUCCUCACCGACUCCUCAGACGAAGCCGAGGCCUACUCGGUGCCACCAAAGAGGUUGUACACUCAUCGCAUCGCACCUUCUCCUUAACUCGACCUCCCGGCACCGACGGUGCUCCAUCCUGCACCCCCAUGGAGCAGCUACCUUGAAGCCGGCGCCGCAGGCGACAUCUCCAUGGCGGCUCUCCCCUAGUGCGAGGCCCCUUCGGCGGCGGCGGCCAUACCAGCCGGAUCUGCUGCUGCUGCUCUGGCUCUCGCUCGCUCGCUUGCGUUGUUGCUGCUGCUCGGGCUCUAGCUCGAUCGCUCGCUCGCCCAGCUGUUGCUGCUGCUCUCCCCCUCGCUCGUGCUGCUGCUCUGGUCCGAUUAAGCCACACUUCAGUCGACUGAAUCGACUCUUGGGUCAGUCGAUUUUCAGGGGUUGGGGGGGGGCUCGCCGGAGUUAAGGAAGAACCACCCGCAGCGGGGACGGGGGCUCGCCGGAGAGGUACCCCACUAUCUAUCUUAGGGUUCAGGGUGGGGGCGGGGGGCCUAGAGGGCUGGUCGGGGCGGCGGUGGCGAGUUGUUUCGGGGCAGCGAGGCGGCGCUGGGGCCGGCGGUUCGGCCGGUGGUGGCUGGUGGAUCAGGGGGGUGCAGGUUGAAGAUAAAUUGCAGGCCCUCCCUCAACUACAUGUCAAGUGCCUCUCUGCUACCAUUGCGUUCAGUUUCGAUAGUAGCAUUCAGAUUCCACAGUAAAUUUCAGUUUCGAUAGUUAAGUUCAGAGUCAACAGUUUUUACCUCAUCUGUUGUAGUCAGGUGGUUUUUGGUGAUGUUAAUUUUACAUCCAUUUUACAUCAUAUAUUGGAGAUGCUAUUAGAAUCCCACUUGAGAUUGACGAUGUCUGUCUUGUGCUGCUUCAGCCUUGACGUCUUACGGCUCACCGGAGCUGCUCCAAUAAUAGAACGAUUCAUCACAAUAGAGCAGUGCCCUGGACGCCGUCUAUAGAUUCCUUAGAUGUUCCUCCACACCUCCGACAGCCACCUCUGCCUCAACUGCUUCAGCGACCAACCCAGUGAUGCUGAGGUCGACACGGCUAUGGCAAAGAGGUUGUACACUUGUUGCAUCACUUAUUACUAUACAUUCACGUCAGUCCAUUAGGGCUAUUUUGGUUCAACGGAAAAACAUAGCAAUAGGGAAUUUUCCAAUGGCACUCUACUAUUCAAUUAUUCAUGCAAUAAACUACUCUUCCUGUAAAUCAGCCAUUUGGGUGGGAGAUGGAAAAAUCUGGAGUGGAAACAAGGCCUUCAGAGCAGACAGUGCUACCUGUCGAAGCAGAUCUCUUGUUGGGUCCCGAUAGCUCCUCAGAGAUGGAUUCAGAGAUAGAUGACCAGUCCUAUUCCCCUACUGAGGUGUAUGCUCUAACUUGGCACGGUUAUACUGCUCAUAUCAUGCAUACGGUGUCUUGCAUUGCAUAGUUUAGACAUCAUAUACACAAUAUUCAACACCAUGUUCUUAGUUCAGGCAUCAUAUCGAAUGCCCUCUGUUUAGCAUAUAAAUCACAUAUGUGAAUUAAAUGAUGCGAUCCUGAUUACUUAGAUAACAUGUAGGUGAAUUAUGUCAUGUGAUCCUGUUUAGUUAUUCAUCAUAUCUUUGAAUUAUGUUAUGCUAUGCUAUCCAGUUUAGAUAGACAUCAGAUAUGUGAAAUUAUGUCAUACUAUCCAUUUUAGUUAAACAAUAUACAUGUCAACUAUUUCAUGCCCUCUUUUUUCCACACUUUCUAUUGUAUCUGUCUCUCAUACAAUGUCUGUACAUUCAACUAUGUUUCCUGUUUAUCAGCCAUUUGAAUUGGAGCGGCUGAUGCCAGUAUCUAGCGGAAUAAAAACAUGGUCUUCAAAUAAAACAGUGCUACCUCUUGGUGGAGAUAGCAACCCGGUUGUACAUGCACAAGAACCAGCCCUACCACACAUAACCCAAACUCUCGCAGAUUGUACCCCUACUGCGAUGGACAAAGAACCAACUUCACCCAAUCUAACCCCAACUCCAGCUGCUAGUAACCCAGUUCCUGUUGACACAACACCAUCUCCACCAUAGAGCUCCCAAACAAGAGCAGUUAGUAAGGCAGCUCUAGUGCCCAAAGGGCCAGUACUAUCACGGCGAACCCCAACUCCACCAGUUAGUACGCCUAUUCCUAUGGAGGAAGCACAACCAGCCAGUCGUAGUUUAGCAUCUAUCGCAUUUGAUGUUGUUAAAUCGUAUGUGUGUAUCUUCCCAUCUUGGAAAUAUUAUACUGAAGAUGAAGGAAAAUGCCAGUUGCAGGUGUUUGUCCAGGAGUUAUGUGUAAGUAAUGUUAUUCGUGGCAAUUACUUUGCUUCGUCCCAUACAUCCUACCUCCAUGAUGGUUAUAAUACAACAAAUUUUUCCCAUUUUUCUCUAUAGAGAAGGACCGAUUUGGAAACUCAGGAUGAGGUAACCUGUGCUAAUACCUCUGCUAUCUUCAAGAAUGCUUGGUGGCAGUAUCGGUAUUACCUGAAGAAAACGUACUUCACCGGCAAAGAAACUCAUCAAAUUACCUUAUGUUCUCCUAAACACAUUUAUUGGACGAUGACUGGGAACGCCAUGUUCUAUACUGGUCCCGAAUCAAGAAGGUGGUAAGGUCUAUGAGCUCAUUUUCUAUUUUUAAGUAUUAUAUCCUUGCGUCUUACUAUACUCUGUUCAUGUAGAACAAGUGCCUAAACCUGAAGAACAACUGUUCUAAUUUAAGAUUCCAUUGCUAUCAUAGUUCAAAAAAGCGCUAGGCGUUAAUUGUGCGUUUUGCCACCGCCUUGCACUUUACUGACCAAAGCGCAUGCUUAUGCGCAGUUAUGCACAGAUUAAGCGUAGUUAUGCGUAAUGCAUUUUACCAACGCCUAGAGCCUAGGCGCGCUUAAGCGCUCACUUAGGCGCGCCUUUUUUAACUACGAUUGCUUUGCUCUUGUAUCACUGUAUUUACUGAUACAAACUUAUUUUUAAAUUGAAGGAUCCAAUCGAAACUCCAAUGGCACAUCAGGUAUGUUCACGCAUGUUUCUUUAACAGGUUUGCUCUUAUCAAUAGCUCUUUUGAUUUCAAUUUCAAUUGUGUAUACAGUUGACUUUCAUAUCAUGCACAUUACUAGCAUCACAACAGAGCCAAUAGUGUUGUUGUACAUGUAGACCCGUGGUACCCAUCUGAAAUCUUGUUGUACCGUGUAGUUUCCCAUGCUUUGUAUUCUUUCACUGCUACUUUGUCUUGAACUAAUAUGAUUUGAACCGUGUCUCUAUUUUGAUUUGGCAAGACAAUGCAGUGACCAUAGGACAUAGAUAUAUGUUUGUUUGAUGCUUUUAUUAUGUACUAGUACUUGGCAAUAGAAGACUUGGUAGUUUAAUCCUGUCCACCUUACUAAUGAACUGGUUCACCGAAAUGAGUUUCAUAUACUAGUAUAUACUAAACUUGUUAUGUGUCUACUUGUUUCUUCUUUUAGAAUGCUGACAGAAUAUUGGGGAAGAGUGCCUUAUUAAGCAAUGGUAAAGGAAGUAAUGCAGAUAAAGUUCAGAAUAGUGACACAUCCUUGUUGGUCUCCAACAAAGCUGAUAAAAUAGCUAAGGAAGACUAUCUUGAAGACAGCGAGACAACCCCAAAGUCAUGUCUUGGUUUAGUGUUCGAGUUACUGGCCACUACCGCUUGCACAAGCUAUUCAAACUCACUGUCUAAAUCAGUUCGGUUUCUUGAGUCUCAACUACAAGAUGAAAGACAUCGAUCAGCUGUGCUGCGACAAGAAGCGGAAGGACUGCGAAAGUCCCUGGAGCAUUCAGAUGCAUACUUUCAGGUGCAAUAGCAAGCGUUGGAGGAUUUUAGCGCCAAACGGGACAAAGCUAAUCAGCUUGCUAAGCUUAUUGCCAGCAUGGUGGAUACCCAGGAUAACGUUGUUGGAAAUAUGCCCUAGAGGCAAUAAUAAAUUAGUUAUUAUUAUUAUAUUUCUUUGUUCAUGAUAAUCGUUUAUUAUCCAUGCUAUAAUUGUAUUGAUAGGAAACUCAGAUACAUGUGUGGAUACAUAGACAACACCAUGUCCUUAGUAAGCAUCUAGUUGACUAGCUCGUUGAUCAAUAGAUGGUUACUGUUUCCUGACCAUGGACAUUGGAUGUUGUUGAUAACGGGAUCACAUCAUUAGGAGAAUGAUGUGAUGGACAAGACCCAAUCCUAAGCCUAGCACAAAGAUCGUGUAGUUCCUAUGCUAAAGCUUUUAUAAUGUCAAGUAUCAUUUCCUUAGACCAUGAGAUUGUGCAACUCCCGGAUACCGUAGGAAUUCUUUGGGUGUACCAAAUGUCACAACGUAACUGGGUGGCUAUAAAGGUACGCUAUGGGUAUCUCCGAAAGUGUCUGUUGGGUUGGCACGAAUCGAGAUUGGGAUUUGUCACUCCGGUUAACGGAGAGGUAUCUCUGGGCCCACUCGGUAGGACAUCAUCAUAAUGUGCACAAUGAGACCAAGGGGUUGAUCACGGGAUGAUGUGUUACGGAAUGAGUAAAGAGACUUGCCGGUAACGAGAUUGAACAAGGUAUCGGCAUACCGACGAUCGAAUCUCGGGGAAGUACAAUACCACUAGACAAAGGGAAUUGUAUACGGGAUUGAUCGAAUCCUUGACAUCGUGGUUCAUCAGAUGAGAUCAUCGUGGAACAUGUGGGAGCCAACAUGGGUAUCCAGAUCCGCUGUUGGUUAUUGACCGGAGAACGUCUCGGUCAUGUCUGCAUGGUUCCCGAACCCGUAGGGUCUACACACUUAAGGUUCGAUAACGCUAGUGUUAUAGGGAAUAGAUGUAUGUGGUUACCGAAUGUUGUUCGGAGUCCCGGAUGAGAUCCCGGACGUCACGAGGAGUUCCGGAAGGGUCCGGAGGUAAAGAUUUAUAUAUGGAAAGUUGUUGUUCGGGUUCCGCGAAAAGUUCGGUUUUUUCCGGUAUUGUACCGGGAAGCUUCCGGAAGGUUCCGGAAGAUUCCGGAGGGGUCCGGAGGUCCGGAAAAUGUUCCACCACGUCCAAUACAGCAGCAUGGGCUGUAAGGGGGCGCCCUAGCCUUAAUGGGCCAGGGGCACCAGCCCCCCCAAGGCCCAUGCGCAUGGGAGAGGGGAAACCCUAAAGGGGAGGGCCUCCACUUGACUUGGGAGGCACUCCUCCCCCCCUUGGCCGCCGCCCCCAACCCUAGAUGGGAUCUAGGGGGCGGCCCCCCUCUCUCCCCACCUAUAAAUAGUGGAUGGGUGGGAGGGCAGCCGGCACUAAGUUCUGGCGCAGCCCUCCCCUUCUCCCAAGUCCUCCCCCUCUCCCGCGGUGCUUGGCAAAGCCCUGCAGGAUUGCCACGCUCCUCCAUCACCACCACGCCGUUGUGCUGCUGCUGGAUGGAGUCUUCCUCAACCUCUCCCUCUCUCCUUGCUAGAUCAAGGCAUGGGAGACGUCACCAGGCUGUACGUGUGUUGAACGCCGAGGUGCCGUCCGUUCGGCACUAGGAUCUCCGGUGAUUUAGAUCACGACGAGUAUGACUCCUUCAACCCCGUUCUCUUGAACGCUCCCUCUUAGCGAUCUACAAGGGUAUGUAGAUGCACUCUCCUUCCCCUCGUUGUUGGUUUCUCCAUAUAUAGAUCUUGGUGACACGUAGGAAAAUUUUGAAUUUCUGCUACAUUCCCCAACAGUGGCAUCACGAGCUAGGUCUAUUGCGUAUAUUCUAUGCACAAGUAGAACACAAAGUAGUUGUGGGCGUUGAUUUUGUUCAAUAUGCUUACCGUUACUAGUCCAAUCUUGAUUCAGCGGCAUUGUGGGAUGAAGCGGCCCGGACCGACCUUACACGUACACUUAUGUGAGACAGGUUCCACCGACUGACAUGCACUUGUUGCAUAAGGUGGCUAGCGGGUGCCAGUCUCUCCCACUUUAGUCGGAUCGGAUUCGAUGAAAAGGGUCCUUAUGAAGGGUAAAUAGCAAUUGGCAUAUCACGUUGUGGCUUUUGCGUAGGUAAGAAACGUUCUUGCUAGAAACCCAUAGCAGCCACGUAAAACAUGCAAACAACAAUUAGAGGACGUCUAACUUGUUUUUGCAGGGUAUGCUAUGUGAUGUGAUAUGGCCAAGAAGAAUGUGAUGAAUGAUAUGUGAUGUAUGAGAUUGAUCAUGUUCUUGUAAUAGGAAUCACGACUUGCAUGUCGAUGAGUAUGACAACCGGCAGGAGCCAUAUGAGUUGUCUUUAUUUAUUGUAUGACAUGUGCGUCAUUGAACAACGCCAUGUAAUUACUUUACUUUAUUACUAACCGGUAGCCAUAGUAGUAGAAGUAAAAAGUUGGCGAGACAACUUCAUGGAGACACGAUGAUGGAGAUCAUGGUGUCAUGUCGGUGACGAUGAUGGAGACACGAAGAUGGAGAUCAAAAGGAGCAAAAUGAUAUUGGCCAUAUCAUGUCACUUUUUGAUUGCAUGUGAUGUUUAUCAUGUUUAUGCAUCUUAUUUGCUUAGAACGACGGUAGUAAAUAAGAUGAUCCCUCACUGAAAUUUCAAGAAAGUGUUCCCCUUAACUGUGCACCGUUGUGAAAGUUCGUCGUUUCGAAGCACCACGUGAUGAUCGGGUGUGAUAGAUUCUUGUUGGAAAUAUGCCCUAGAGGCAAUAAUAAAAGGAUUAUUAUUAUAUUUCCUUGUUCAUGAUAAUUGUCUUCAUGCUAUAAUUGUAUUAUCCAGAAAUCGUAAUACACGUGUGAAUACAUAGACCACAAUAUGUCCCUAGUGAGCCUCUAGUUGACUAGCUCGUUGAUCAACAGAUAGUCAUGGUUUCCUGACUAUGGACAUUAGAUGUCAUUGAUAACGGGAUCACAUCAUUAGGAGAAUGAUGUGAUGGACAAGACCCAAUCCUAAGCAUAGCACAAGAUCGUGUAGUUCGUUUUGCUAGAGCUUUUCCAAUGUCAAGUAUCUUUUCCUUGGACCAUGAGAUCGUGUAACUCCCGGAUACCGUAGGAGUGCUUUGGGUGUACCAAAUGUCACAACGUAACUGGGUGACUAUAAAGGUGCACUACAGGUAUCUCCGAAAGUGUCUGUUGGGUUGACACGGAUCGAGACUGGGAUUUGCCACUCCGUAUGACGGAGAGGUAUCUCUGGGCCCACUCGGUAAUGCAUCAUCAUAAUGAGCUCAAAGUGACCAAGUGUCUGGUCACAGGAUCAUGCAUUACGAUACGAGUAAAGUGACUUGCCGGUAACGAGAUUGAACGAGGUAUUGGGAUACCGACGAUCGAAUCUCGGGCAAGUAACAUACCGAUUGACAAAGGGAAUUGUAUACGGGGUUGCUUAAAUCCUCGACAUCGUGGUUCAUCCGAUGAGAUCAUCGAGGAAUAUGUGGAAGCCAACAUGGGUAUCCAGAUCCCGCUGUUGGUUAUUGACCGGAGCGCCAUCUCGGUCAUGUCUACAUGUCUCCCGAACCCGUAGGGUCUACACACUUAAGGUCCGGUGACCCUAGGGUUGUAUGAAUAUGAGUAUGCAGCAAACCGAAAGUUGUUCGGAGUCCCGGAUGAGAUCCUGGACGUCAAGAGGAGUUCCAGAAUAGUCCAGAGGUAAAGAUUUAUAUAUAGGAAGUGCAGUUUUGGCCAUCGGGAGAGUUUCAGGGGUCACCGGCAUUAUACCGGGACCACCGGAAGGGUCCCGGGGGUCCACCGGGUGGGGCCACCUAUCCCGGAGGGCCCCGUGGGCUGAAGUGGGGAGGGGACCAGCCCCUGGUGGGCUGGUGCGCCCCCCUUGGGCCCCCCUACGCCUAGGGUUGGAAACCGUGGGGUGGGGGGCGCCUCCACUUGCCUUGGGGGGCACUCCACCCCCUGGCCGCCGCCCCCCCUUGGAGAUGCCAUCUCCUAGGGCCGGCGCCCCCCCCCCCCAGGGGGCCUAUAUAAAGGAGGGGGAGGGAGGGCAGCCGCACCCUAAAGUUUUGGCGCCUCCCUCUCCCCUGCUACACCUCUCCCUCUCGCAGAAGCUCGGCGAAGCUCUGCCGGAACCCUGCUGCAUCCACCAGCACGCCGUCAUGCUGCUGGAUCUUCAUCAACCUCUCCUUCCCCCUUGCUGGAUCAAGAAGGAGGAGACGUCAUCCGCUCCGUACGUGUGUUGAACGCGGAGGUGCUGUCCGUUCGGCACUUGGUCCUCGGUGAUUUGGAUCACGACGAGUACGACUCCCUCAACCCCGUUCUCUUGAACGCUUUCGCUCGCAAUCUACAAAGGUAUGUAGAUGCACUACUAUCACUCGUUGCUAGAUGAACUCAUAGAUGGAUCUUGGUGAAACCGUAGGAAAAUUUUUAUUUUCUGCAAUGUUCCCUAACAAUUCUAACGUUCACAUACAACGGGUGUAAGCCAGAUUUACACAUGCGAAACACUUAGGUUGACUUGACGAGCCUAGCAUGUACAGACAUGGCCUCGGAACACAAGAGACCGAAAGGUCGAGCAUGAGUCGUAUGGUAGAUACGAUCAACAUGAAGAUGUUCACCGAUGAUGACUAGUCCGUCUCACGUGAUGAUCGGACAUGACCUAGUUGACUCGGAUCGUGUAAUCACUUAGAUGACUAGAGGGAUGUCUAUCUGAGUGGGAGUUCAUAAGAUGAACUUAAUUAUCCUGAACAUAGUCAAAAGAUUCUUGCAAAUUAUGUCGUAGCUCGCGCUUUAGUUCUACUGUUUUAGAUAUGUUCCUAGAGAAAAUUUAGUUGAAAGUUGAUAGUAGCAAUUAUGCGGACUGGGUCCAUAAACUGAGGAUUGUCCCCGUUGCUUCGUAGAAGGCUUAUGUCCUUAAUGCACCGCUCAGUGUGCUGAACCUCGAACGUCGUGUGUGGAUGUUGCGAAAAUUUGACAUACACGUUUUGAUAACUACGUGAUAGUUCAGUUAAACGGUUUAGAGUUGAGGCACCAAAGACGAUUUCAAAACGUUGCGGAACAUAUGAGAUGUUUCGAGGGCUGAAAUUGGGAUUUCAGGCUCGUGCCCACGUCAAGAGGUAUGAGACCUCCGACGAUUUUCUUAGCCUGCAAACUAAGGGAGAAAAGCUCAAUCGUUGAGCUUGUGCUCAGAUUGUCUAAGUACAACAAUCACUUGAAUCGAGUGGGAGUUAAUCUUCCAGAUGAGAUAGUGAUGUUUCUCCAAAGUCAUUGUCACCAAGCUACUAGAGCUUCGUGAUGAACUACAACAUAUCAGGGAUAGAUAUGAUGAUCCUUGAAGUAUUCACGAUGUUUGACACCGCGAAAGUAGAAGUCAAGUAGGAGCAUCAAUUGUUGAUGGUUAGUAAAACCACUAGUUUCAAGAAGGGCAAGGGCAAGAAGGGAUACUUCAUGAAACAGCAAAACAGUUGCUGCUCUAGUGAAAACCCAAGGUUGAACCCAAACCCGAGACUAAGUGCUUCUGUAAUGAGAGGAACGGACACUAAAGCAGAACCACCCUAGAUACUUGGUAGAUAAGAAGGCAGGCAAGGUCGACGGAAGUAUAUUGGAUAUACAUGUGUACUUUACUAGUACUCCUAGUAGCACCAGGGGAUUAGAUACCGGUUCGGUUGCUAAGUGUUGGUAACUCGAAAUAAAAGCUACGGAAUAAACAGAGACUAGCUAAAGGUGAGCUGACGAUAUGUGUUGGAAGUGUUUCCAAGGUUGAUGUGAUCAAGCAUCGCACGCUCCCUCUACCAUCGAGAUUGGUGUUAAACCUAAAUAAAUGUUAUUUGGCGUUUGUGUUGAGCAUAGACAUGAUUGGAUUAUGUCUAUCGCAAUACAGUUAUUCAUUUAAAGAGAAUAAUGGUUACUCUGUUUAUUUGAAUAAUACCUUCAAUGGUCUUGCACCUAAAAUGAAUGGUUUAUUGAAUCUCGAUCGUAGUGAUACACAUAUUCAUGCCAAAAGAUAUAAGAUAGUAAUGAUAGUACCACAUACUUGUGGCACUGAGUCAUAUUGGUAUAAAAUGCAUGAAGAAGCUCCAUGUUGAUGGAUCUUUGGACUCACUCGUUCUGAAAAGUUUGAGACAUGCGAACCAUGUCUAUUGGUGUAUAUGCAUGAAGAAACUCCAUGCAAAUGGACCGUUUGGACUCACUUGAUUUUGAAUCACUUGAGACAUGCAAAUCAUACCACAUGGGCAAGAUGACUGAAAGCCUCGUUUUCAGUAAAAUGGAACAAGAAAGCAACUUGUUGGAAGUAAUACAUUUUGAUGUAUGCGGUCCAAUGAGUGUUGAGGCACGCAGUGGAUAUCGUUAUGUUCUUACUUCACGGAUGAUUUGAGUACAUACUGAGUAUAUUUACUUGAUGAAACACAAGUCUGAAUUAUUGAAUGGUUCAAGUAAUUUCAGAGUGAAGUUGAAAAUCAUCAUGACAAGAGGAUAAAAUGUCUAUGAUAUGAUCAUAGAGAUGAGUGUCUGAGUCACGAGCUUUGGCACGCAAUUAAGACAUUGUGCAAAUUGUUUCACAAUUAAUACCGCCUGGAACACCAUAGUGUGAUGGUGUGUUCGAACAUCAUAGUUGCAGCCUAUUGGAUAUGGUGCGUACCAUGAUGUCUCUUAUCGAAUUACCACUAUCGUUCAUGGGUUAGGCAUUAGAGACAACCGCACUCACUUUAAUAGGGCACCACGUAACUCCGUUGAGACGACACCGUUUGAACUAUGGUUUGGAGAAAUCUAAGUUGUCGUUUCUUAAAAGUUUGGGGCUGCGACGCUUAUGUGAAAAAGUUUCAGGUUGAUAAGCUCGAACCCAAAGCGGAUAAAUGUAUCUUCAUAGGACACCCAAAACAGUUGGGUAUACCUCCUAUCUCAGAUCCGGAAGCAAAAUAGAUUGUUUCUAGAAACGGGUCCUUUCUCGAGAAAAGUUUCUCUCGAAAGAAUUGAGUGGGAGGAUGGUGGGGACUUGAUGAGGUUUUUGAACCGUCACUUCAACUAGUCUGUAGCAGGGCACAGGAAGUUGUUCCUGUGGCACCUACACCAAUUGAAGUAGAAGCUUAUGAUAGUGAUCAUGAAACUUCGGAUCAAGUCACUACCAAACCUCGUAGGUCGACAAGGAUGUGUACUGCUUCAGAGUGGUACGUAAUCCUGUCUUGAAGGUCAUGUUGCUAGACAACAAUGAACCUACGAGCUAUGAAGAAGCGAUGGUGGGCCCAUGUUCCGACAAAUGGUUAGAAGCCAUGAAAUCCGAGAUAGGAUCCAUGUAUCAAAACAAAGCAUGUACUUUGAUGGACUUGCCCGAUGAUCGGCAAGCCAUUGAGAUAAAUGGAUCUUUACGGUAAUGUCACCGUCUAUGAAGCUCGACUUGUGGCGAAGAGUUUUUCACAAGUUCAAGGAAGUUGACUACGAUGAGAUUUUCUCAUCCAUAGCAAUGCUUAAGUCCGUCGGAAUCAUCUUAGCAUUAGUUGCAUUUAUGAAAUCUGCCAAAUGGAUGUCAAAACGAGUUUCCUUACCAGUUUUCGUAAGGAAAGGUUGUAUGCGAUACAAUCAGAAAGGUUUUGUCGAUCCUAAGGAUGCUAAAAGGUAUGCUAGCUCCAGCGAUCCUUCCAUGGACUGGAGUAAGCAUCUCGGAGUUGGAAUGUACGCUUUGAUGAGAUGAUCAAAGAUUUUGGAUUUAUACAAAGUUUAUGAGAAACUUGUAUUUCCAAAGAAGUGAGUGGGAGCACUAUAGAAUUUCUGAUGAGUAUAUGUUGUUGACGUAUUGUUGAUCAGAAAUGAUGUAGAAUUUCUGGAAAGCAUAUAGGGUUAUUUGAAAAGUGUUUUUUAAUAGAAAACCUAGAUUAAGCUACUUGAACAUCGAGCAUCAAGAUCUAUGAGGAUAGAUCAAAAACGCUAAAUGGUACUUUCAAAUGAGCACAUACCUUGACAUGAUCUUGAAGGUGUUCAAGAUGGAUUAGUCAAAGAAGGAGUUCUUGCCUGAGUUGUAAGGUAUGAAGUUAAGACUUAAAGCUCGACCACGGCAGAAGAGAGAGAAAGGACGAAGGUCGUCCCCUAUGCUUCAGACGUAGGCUCUAUAGUAUGCUAUGCUGUGUACCGCACCGAAAGUGUGCCUUGCCAUGAGUCUGGCAAAGGGGGUACAAGAGUGAUCCAGGAAUGGAUCAUUCAACAGCGGUCAAAAUUGUCCUUGGAGUAAAUAAGGACAUGUUUCUCGUUUAUGGAGGUGAUAAAGAGUUCGGCGUAAAGGGUUACGUUGAUGCAAGCUUUAACACCUAUCCGAAUGACUCUGAGUAGCAGACCGGAUACGUAUAGUGGAGCAACCAUUUGGAAUAGCUCCAAGUGGAGCGUGGAAGCAGCAUUUACAAUAUGACCUAGAGAUUUGCGAAGUACAUACGGAUCUGAAUGUUGCAGACCCGUUGACUAAAACCUCUCUCACAAGCAAACAUGAUCAAACCCCAGAACUCAUUGAGUCUUAAUCACAUGAUGAUGUGACACUAGUAAGCUCUUUGGAUGUUGGUCACAUGGCGAUGUGACCUGUGAGUGUUAAUCACAUAGCGAUGUGAACUAGAUUAUUGACUCUAGUGCAAGUGGGAGACUGUUGGAAAUAUGCCCUAGAGGCAAUAAUAAAUUAGUUAUUAUUAUUAUAUUUCCUUGUUCAUGAUAAUCAUUUAUUAUCCAUGCUAUAAUUGUAUUGAUAGGAAACUCAGAUACAUGUGUGGAUACAUAGACAACACCAUGUCCCUAGUAAGCCUCUAGUUGACUAGCUCGUUGAUCAAUAGAUGGUUACGGUUUCCUGACCAUGGACAUUGGAUGUCAUUGAUAACGGGAUCACAUCAUUAGGAGAAUGAUGUGAUGGACAAGACCCAAUCCUAAGCCUAGCACAAAGAUCGUGUAGUUCGUAUGCUAAAGCUUUUAUAAUCUCAAGUAUCAUUUCCUUAGACCAUGAGAUUGUGCAACUCCCGGAUACCGUAGGAAUGCUUUGGGUGUACCAAACGUCAAAACGUAACUGGGUGGCUAUAAAGGUACGCUACGGGUAUCUCCGAAAGUGUCUGUUGGGUUGGCACGAAUCGAGACUGGGAUUUGUCACUCCGGUUAACGGAGAGGUAUCUCUGGGCCCACUCGGUAGGACAUCAUCAUAAUGUGCACAAUGUGACCAAGGGGUUGAUCACGGGAUGAUGUGUUACGGAACGAGUAAAGAUACUUGCCGGUAACGAGAUUGAACAAGGUAUCGGCAUACCGACGAUCGAAUCUCGGGCAAGUACAAUACCACUAGACAAAGGGAAUUGUAUACGGGAUUGAUCGAAUCCUCGACAUCGUGGUUCAUCCGAUGAGAUCAUCAUGGAACAUGUGGGAGCCAACAUGGGUAUCCAGAUCCCGCUGUUGGUUAUUGACCGGAGAACGUCUCGGUCAUGUCUGCAUGGUUCCUGAACCCGUAGGGUCUACACACUUAAGGUUCGAUGACGCUAGGGUUAUAGGGAAUAGAUGUAUGUGGUUACCGAAUGUUGUUCGGAGUCCCAGAUGAGAUCCCAGACGUCACGAGGAGUUUCGGAAGGGUCCGGAGGUAAAGAUUUAUAUAUGGAAAGUUGUUGUUCGGGUUCCGGGAAAAGUUCGGUUUUUUCCGGUAUUGUACCGGGAAGCUUCCGGAAGGUUCCGGAGGAUUCCGGAGGGGUCCGAAGGUCCGGAAAAUGUUCCACCACGUCCAAUACAGCAGCAUGGGCUGUAAGAGGGCGCCCUAGCCUUAAUGGGCUAGGGGCACCAGCCCCCCCAAGGCCCAUGCGCAUGGGAGAGGGGAAACCCUAAAGGGGAGGGCCUCCACUUGACUUGGGAGGCACUCCUCCCCCCCUUGGCCGCCGCCCCCAACCCUAGAUGGGAUCUAGGGGGGCUGGCCCCCCUCUCUCCCCACCUAUAAAUAGUGGAGGGGUGGGAGGGCAGCCGACACGAAGUUCUGGCGCAGCCCUCCCCUUCUCCCAAGUCCUCCUGCUCUCCUGUGGUGCUUGGCGAAGCCCUGCAGGAUUGCCACGCUCCUCCAUCACCACCACGCCGUUGUGCUGCUGCUGGAUGGAGUCUUCCUCAACCUCUCCCUCUCUCCUUUCUGGAUCAAGGCAUGGGAGACGUCACCGGGUUGUACGUGUGUUGAACACGGAGGUGCCGUCCGUUCGGCACUAGGAUCUCCGGUGAUUUGGAUCACGACGAGUAUGACUCCUUCAACCCCGUUCUCUUGAACGCUUCCGCUUAGCAAUCUACAAGGGUAUGUAGAUGCACUCUCCUUCCCCUUGUUGUUGGUUUCUCCAUAGAUAGAUCUUGGUGACACGUAGGAAAAUUUUGAAUUUCUGCCACGUUCCCCAACAAACGUUUCUUGAGCUCUUCUGAAGUUGUUUCAUUUAUGCUCUUGUUUUGCUGCCGCGUUUAUUUGCACUGGUGGCCAAUUUUGACGGCCAGUGUAUGUAAUAUGCUGCUUUGUUCCCUAUAUUUUCACUGGUGGCGAACUUUGAUGCCCAGUUGAUGUAAUAUGUGUAAUUGCGGUAAUAGGCUAGCCUUAAUUGCUUGCUUAUUUAUUUUCUUAUUGUCUUGUUUAGUUGUUUGCUUGUAGUCACUGCAGUUCUUUUCUGUGUUUUUCUAGUGGCCACAAUAGCCUAUUUUUGGUAACUAGGCCAAAAUAAUCAUGGCAACACAUGGACUGUUGUAACCAUGGGCCUCCUGCAGGCCGUAUGAUCCAUGGGCCUUCGUUCGGCCGUAGGACCAUUGGCCUUCUAUACGGGCCGUAGGAUCCAUCGGCCUUCUGUAUGGGCCUUAGGGGUCAAUGGGCCUUCUACGGUCCGUACUAUCCAUGGGCCUCAUACGGGCCGUAGGAUCCAUGGGCCUUCUACGGGGCGUAUCAUCAUUUCUCCAAUCAUGGGUCGUACUAUUCAUGGACUAUAACGGGCUGUUAAUAGGCCGUAUUUGAUAACUCUAUGAAAACAGCCCAACGUUUUUUUUACAUGAAAAUGGCCCAACGUAUUAACGGUUCGCAAACGGGCCGACUGUAACUACGUGUCACCACGGGUCGUUAAUGGGUAUAAAGUGAUACACUGUUCAUUACGGGCCAGUUUCACCACGGGUCGUUAAUGGGCCAAGAGUUACAAAGGUCCUCAUAUGGGCCGAAAGAAGUCAUGGGCCACACAUGGGCCGGAAGUUAAAAUAGGCUGAAUCAUAUUGGACGGCCCAGAUGACGCUACUGGGCCUAAUUCGGAUAGGGCGUAAUGGGCCCUGGGUUAGCGGGCUGUAAAUGGGCUAUAUGCGAACAGGCCGUUAACAGGCUUUCCGUGGGCCGGCCCGCCACCUUUUAACCAAGUCAAAUGGGCCGGCCUUUUCACAGGAAUGGGCCUCUGUUGGGCCGUGCCACGUGUCGUCGUAUCAUAGGCGCCUUCGGUCCAAUGAGCGGAUGACAUCUGUCCCAACGGUGAGCCGACACGUGUUUCCUCCAGCCAAUGAUGAUUUUACACAUGGAAAAUCCCCAUUGGUCGGGGCUGUUAACGGGUUAUCGGAUCCAAAACCCGACCCGAUAGCUUAACGGCGUUCCGUUACGGUGGAUGCCAUGUGUCAGUCACCCUUGACGAAAGCACUUCUGUGACGCGCAAUUUAUCGUCAUGGAAGUGGACACUUCCGUGAUGAUAAUUUUGGUAAUGUCAUGGAACACUUCUACGACAGCACAGGCAUGACUAUCUUGAUUCUGUCAUGGAUGUACAUGCAUGACAAAAACGCGACCUACUGUGACAAGCACGUAUCAUCACGGAAGUGUAUUUUUUUUGUAGUGAAUGCAACAAUAUAUCCAACAUGUUGUGAUUAUGCUCCAGUGGUACUCGUCCCAUGGACUGGCUUACCGAACGUGAUCAUUUCCAGACCACAAACAUGAAGAACUCAACGACAAUCUCGUGAUCCUUACGGCGAUCACAACCCUGACCAACACUUGGUCUCAAACUCAACACAAUGGCCUUACUGCCAUUACCUUAGUGCAAAUCUCAGUGUGCAAAUUUAUUAAGUGUGGACCCAUGGUGUACCCUACUUUCAAGCGUGUCCGUAAUCGUGGACUCGGCUGUCGAUAGAUUAAUACACUUUGCAGAGGUAGCGCACUGGACCCACACUACGGAACCCAUGGCCUCGCACUCCCAUUCGGGUGGACCAACGGCAUUCCGACGGAACCACUUCAUUGUCAUGACACUCUCCUGGCCACUCCGACUCAAUCCCCAUCGGGCUAGUCCUGGGUGGCCCCGUGUCUACCUCAAGACACCUCAAACCACCGUUGUGGCAAUGAUCCACUCUGGGACCCAAACACUUAACUCAUCAACUGGCACACAAGGUUAUGCCUGCUUACCGGGCCAGGGUACAGCACACCCAUAACCUUCCCUAGAUGGAGGCACCGACCAGAGGCACGACAAUGAAACGCAUUAAGGUCGUCCCAUACCGGCAAAUGUGGUUGCACUGGGUAAAACUCGUUUCAGCGGCACCACGACCCGGUCAACAACAUAUUCAAGUUGAGUUAUUUAUCAGGUUCAACUUAAAGUGAAAGUAACCGAUGUCAUAAUGCCAUGCUAUGCAUCACUAACAUUUGCAUCAAAUAACCAUGAAAAUAACUAAAUCAACUACGCUCCCACGGAGCCAUCACCAACUCAAGAUACUUCUCUGGUUAAGAUCAAACCUCACUUAAACCAGAACCAUUUCUAGCAAUCUCAUCAUUUUUCAUCAUGCAAGAAUAAUAAUUAAACUAAUUAUUAACCUUCAUGAUCAUAUCAUUUUAUUAUUACUCAUAUCUAAGUUCUUGUUAGCUUAUCAGAAAGAUUCAUUUCAAACUUUAUGUAAAUCAUACAUACUUAACAUGACAAGAAUCUAACAGAAUAUAAUUAUCAUAAUAAUUAUUUAAAUGCAUGAAUAAUCAUAAGUUCGUGUGGAAAAAUCACAAAUAUUGAAGUGGCACUAUGAAAAUGUUGUUGUGGCUUGCCUUAGUGCUGAUGAGGUUCACAAACCUCCUGAUGAUCCUCAAGACAAGCUUGCUCUGCUGAAAAUAAAUAAAAUCACAAAAAGAAAACAUAAAGAAACCUUCUGAAAAUUACCAAAAAAAUCUAGACAGCAAGGAAAAAUCCCAUCUCUUGGGUGUUGUUAGAUUUUUGGACAAAGAACACAAUGCAAAAAGAAUCAAUGCAUUUGGACUUAUAGAUAAAAAUUUAUGGCGGUUUGAAGUUUCCUGGAUUUAAGUGAAUUUGAUUUAAAAAGAAAACAGACUGGGGGGUGAUGUCGAAGGAAUAUUGUUCACAGGAAUUUGAAACAUAGAGAAAUAUUGUUCACACAUGGUUCUCCAGAUUUUGGGGUUUUCACCCAAAAAUUGGGAAAACGUGAGAGGUGGGGAAUUUGGACCAACCCAGUGUGAAUAUGUGCCGCAGAAGAGCCCAACGCAAGGGAGUUGUCUAAAACCAGCUGCGGAGGAGUGUGAAAAUUCAGCGUACCAUUGGCCGGAGAGGCUGUCGACGGGACGCCGCCCACCGACAACCCACCCCGUAACUGGUGCGACUCGCCGUGGCCAGCAGGCCCGUGGAUCAUGUCGUCGAGUGCUAGAUCGGGGAGAUCCGGCCUUCUCGGUCCACCAUCUAUUGCGGCUAGCGUGGGAGGCCACUCGCUCUGGAGCAUGCCCAUCGUCUCCUGGAGCUUGGAGAGGCGGGAUUCGAGAUCAGGCUUCCAGGCCGUAAGCGCGUCCACCUGCGUGGACUGGAAGUCGAUCCGCGCUGAGAGGUCCUUGAUGUUAGCGCGGGUGUCCUUGUUGGCCUUGGUCAGGGUCUCCAUGAGCUUGUCGAGGUAUGACUUGAGGGCGGGAUCCAUGGUCGCGAGCAGCUGAUUGCGCUCGCUCGUUUGCCGCCGCGUCUCCAGGGCGUCAACGAAGGGUGGUGAUUGGUGACUGAUACCACGUGUUAAGUACUCUCUUAGUACCCCCAGAAUUGUACUAGAUCGAUUACAAGGAAAAGGUUACAAAUCUCUGGAGGAGGAAGAUGAACUAGGGAAGAAAGGGGAAUUAGGUUACAAGCCGCCGUCGUCCAGUCUGUUCCCAGCCAGGAUGCCCCUCCUCACCUGUUGCGUCCUCUCUUAUCAGUGGGUGGGUACGCUUCUCGGGUCAAACAGGUAGGAAACCCACUAGGGGCCCGUAAACUUAUGGCACGGUCGUCGCUCCCUCCUGGGCCGGCCUUGCUGGGCCACUUCUAUUCGCUGGCUCAGUGCUCCACCUGCAGGUGGUGUGCUAACACCCCCUCUUCCUUCAGAGUCGACUUGUCCCCAAGUCGUUGCAGCCGGGAAGCGAUGCCGCAGAUCUUCGAGAUCCUCCCAAGUGUCCGGAGUUGCUUGAGUGUUCUGCCAACGCACCAGGCCUUGUUCGCGCAUCUUACGGGAACCUCGAUGCCAUUGUUUUUCCAAGAUCUUCACAGGAAUGUUAACCUAUCAGUACAUCAUGGUAAUGAAGAUGAAGCAUUUGCACCUAGUGUUAAUGCCCGCUUGAGCUGGGAGACAUGGAAGACAAGGAAAAUGGAUGAUCCUUCCGGGAGCUGGAGCUCAUACGUGACUUCGUUCAUGCGCCUGAUGAUGGUGUAGGGCCCAAAGUACUUGAAGCUGAGCUUAUGAUUAGCUCUCCUUGCCACAGAGGUUUGAAUAUAUGGUUGCAACUUCAAGAAAACCUGAUCUCCCACUUGAAAUUCGCGAACCGAUCUAUUUUUAUUUGCUUGUGCUUUCAUGAUUUGCUUUGCCCGGACUAGGUGCUGUCGAAGGAUGUCUUGCAUUUGUUGACGCUCCUCGAGCCACUCAUUCAGCUUAGGUAAUGGAGUUGCAUGGUCAGGUACUAUCCCCAGCUGGCGCGGUUCCUGACCAUAUACCACCGAGAAAGGUGUCUUGCCCAAGGUAGAGUGAUAGGUGGAAUUGUACCAGAACUCCGCGAGGGCCAACCAACGACUCCAAUUAGUUGGGGUGCUAUGGACAAAGCAGCGCAGAUAGGUUCACACACAUUGAUUGACCCGUUCGGUCUGGUCGUCUGUUUGAGGGUGAUGAGAAGAGCUCAUUUUAAGUUCAAUCCCUUGUAGCUUGAAGAUUUCCUGCCAAACUUUGCUAGUGAAGAUGGCAUCACGGUUUGAGAUGAGGCCUUCGGGCAUCCCGUGCAACUUGUAAACUUGAUCAAUAUAUAAUUGGGCAAUUGUCUGAGCAGUGUGCGGGGGCUUUACUGGGAGGAAGUGCGCAUACUUGGAGAAGGUGUCAAUGACGACCAAUAUGCAAUUGUAAUUCCUGGAUUGGGGUAGACCUCCGAUGAAAUCUAGCGAGACUAGAUCCCAACAUCGCUUGGCUACUGGCAAGGGAUGUAGUAGCCCGGGGUAUUGAGCUCGGUCUGGCUUAGCUUGCUAACACACCUGGCAUGUUUGGACAUCUCUUUGAUCUGAUGCUUCAUACCCGGCUAGGCAAACAAGUGCUUGAUUCUGCGAUAGGUGGCUGGAAACCCGGAGUGUCCCCCUAUAGCGUUGUCAUGUAAAGCUUGCAUGCUGGAGUUUUGUGCUGUUGCCUAGCCAUACACUCCCUUUGAAUCUUACAAUACCCUUGGUCAGAGUGAACUUGCUAUCAGCGACCGGUGCCACGGCGAGCUGAGUGAUGAGUUGUUGUGUCUUGGGAUCGUUGUCGUACCCUUUGACAAUUUCCUGAAGCUAGGUUGGCUGACACACUGAAAUGGCAUGGAGGUGAGUAGAAUUCUCAACAGGUCGUCUUGACAGAGCAUCAGCAACACUGUUUUAUGUACCCUUGCGAUAGCAGAUCCAAUAUUGGAGCCCUAACAGCUUUGUGAAAGCUUUUUGUUGCCACGGGGUGUGAAGAUGUUGUUCUUCCAAGUGGACUAAGCUGCAUUGGUCUGUCUUAACCAUAAAUUCGCCAAACUGUAGGUAUGGAUGCCAUUGCUCGAUGACCAAGACAAUGGCCAGGUACUCCUUCUCAUAAGUGGACAAACCCUUAUUCUGUGGGCCCACCGCUUUGCUGAGGUACGCUAUCGGGUGCCCAUCUUGUUGCAAAACAACUCCCACUCCAUACUCGCAGGCGUCAGUCUCAAUUGUGAAUGGUUUUGUGAAGUCUGGGAGUGCUAGUGCUGGUGUUGUCGUCAGUGACGUUUUGAGAGCGUCGAAGGCUGAUUGGGUGGCCUCUGUCCACUGGAAUGGUGUAUUUUUGCACAAAAGGUUGGUGAGUGGACGAGCCAGCAUGCCAAAUUGCCGAACAAAUCAUUGGUAGUAUCCGGCCAAUCCUAGAAAGGCUCGAACCUCCUUGACAGAUGUUGGUACCAGCCACGCAGUCACUUGCUGAAUCUUGUCUGAAUCUAUCGAGACCCCUUUUGCAGAAAUGGUGUGACCGAGGUAUUUGAUUUCCUGUUGAGCAAAGGCACAUUUGGACCUCUUCACAUACCACUGGUCCCUUCGGAGGAGAGCUAGCACUUGCCUUAGGUGUUGCAAGUGCAAGGCAAAGGAUCGACUGAAGACUAGGAUAUCGUCAAAAAAACCAUUGCGCAGACCCGUAGGACUGGAUGCUGCGUCACAUUCAUAGCCCCCAAAAAUGUUGGAGGUGCUCCCCCGAGACCACAUGGCACCACUUUGAAUUCGAAAUAGCCCGAGUGCGUUUGAAAUGCAGUUUUGUAUUCCUCCCCUUCUGCCAAUCUGAUUUGGUGAUAGCCGGAGCGCAAAUCAAGCUUGGAGAACCAACACGCCCCUGCUAGCUCAUCCAAAAUAUCCUCAAUGACAGGCACGGGGUACUUGCUGAUGAUGGUCAUCGCAUUCAGCCUCCGAUAAUCAACGCACAUGCGCCAGGUACCGUCCUUCUUCUUGACCAGAAUAAUAGGAGAGGAGAAUGGGUUGCUGCUCCUUUGAAUGAUACCAGCCUUCAACAUUUCAGUGACUUGCCUUUCCACUUCUGUCUUCAAUUCUGGCUUGUGUCUGUACGCUCGUAUGUUGACCGGCUGGGCGCCUUGCAUCAAGGGGGUGGUGUGAUCACAUUCGUGCCGUGGUGGCAAUCCGGUCGGCUCCAGGAAUACAUCCUCAUAAUCUAACAACACUUGCACAAUCUAUGGUGGAAGUUAAGUACACUUGAGAUCGGUGAUAGUGUCAGAAUCUUGAGCAUAACAAAUGUGCACUGCAUAGGCCACCCCUUCUUGUUUUUCCAUACUUGCUAGCUGCACCGUAUUCAGAGUUUCACACUUAUGUGCUUGAGAUGUAACCCCCUGCAAUACAACCAUGAAUCCGUCAUGUUCGAUUUACAUGCACCAUUUCAGCCAAUCGAUGAGCAUGGGGAUGUGAUACUCCAGCCAAUCCAUCCCCAAUAUGACAUCGUAAGAUCCCAAAGGCAGCAAUCUGAAAUUGGUUGAAAACACAUGACCCUGGGCAAACCAAGAGCAGCCUAGUACUUCCUGAGUGCACCACAUUUCUGACCCAUUGGCUACAGCAACUUUGACAGACUUGGGCAUAGAUUGUACCCCUGUAGAUGAGAUGCUAAAUGUUGAGACACGAACGAGGCUGAACUACCGGAGUCCACAAGCAUAAGGACUUCACGCCCCUGGAGCCAGCCAUGUAAUUGUAAGCAACUGGGUGCUUCAGUUCCAGACACGGCAUUGAUAGAGAGCUGCCACACUUGCUCCCCUAUAUCUGUCUGCCCCUACUGUUGUGCAUUGGCCGCUGCCCCUUCUCCUUGAGCGUCCAAACUGAACAGGAUGAGCAUUUCCUCAAUCACGUGCAGUUUAACUGUCGGCGGGCAUACGUGAUCAUGACCCCAUCUCUCUCCACACUUGAAACACAACCCUUUGGCUCGACGAAAUUACACAGGGCUGUGAUUUUGGAUUGAUCACUCCCCGCGCAGGCGGCUUCAGUGUUGCAGCGAUCAUCUGCUGCUGGGGAGAUAGCCGGCGCCCGUGCUGCAGGAGGGGGCAACGGCAGAGGACCCGUUGAGCGAGUCCUCCCCAGAUAGGGUGCCCCUUCAUGGUUGUUGUACCACGGUCCCUUUUGUCCCUCCGCGACUUCCUCUUGCAGAAUCGCCAGGGCACAAGCGGUGUCCAGAUCCUUGGGUCGCUGCACCAUCACCACCGCACGGAUGUCUGUGCGCAGGCCCUCGAUAAACCUCGUCAAGAAAUACAGUGGGUGUACAGCAUCAGAAUAAGAAAUAAGAUGGUUUAUAAGGUUCUCAAAUUGCUCAAUGUAGUCAGAUACAGAGCUAGUCUGGCGAAGGGAGUAAAAUUGGCGGAUAAGUAGCUGAUGCUUAUCGCGGCCGAAUCGUGCACAUAGCAAAUUACAGAAAGCCUCCCAAUAUAGCGUGCUCAGUUUCCCCUGGAUCGACUGCAGCCAGAUGGCUGCCAGACCCGUGAAGUGUAAUGUGGACAUGGGGACGAAGUAGGACUCAGGAAUUUGAAACAUGGAGAAAUAUUGUUCACACAUGGUUCUCCAGAUUUUGGGGUUUUCACCCGAAAAUUGGGGAAACGCGGGAGGUGGGGAAUUUGGACCCAACCCAGUGUGAAUAUGUGUCGCAGAAGAGCCCGACGCAAGGGAGUUGUCUAAAACCAGCUGCGAAGGAGUGUGAAAAUUCAGCGUACCAUUGGCCGGAGAGGCUGUCGACGGGACGCCGCCCGCCGACAACCCACCCCGUAACUGGUGCGACUCGCCGUGGCCAGCAGUCCCGUGGAUCAUGCCGUCGAGUGCCGGAUCGAGGAGAUCCGGCCUUCUCGAUCCACCAUCUGUUGCGGCUAGCGUGGGAGGCCACCCGCUCUGGAGCAUGCCCACCGUCUCCUGGAGCUUGGAGAGGCGAGAUUCGAGAUCGGGCUUCCAGGCCGUAAGCGCGUCCACCUGCGCGGACUGGAAGUCGAUCCGCGCUAAGAGGUCCUUGAUGUCAGCGCGGGUGUCCUCGUUGGCCUUGGUCAGGGUCUCCGUGAGCUUGUCGAGGUAUGACUUGAGGGCGGGAUCCAUGGUCGCGAGCAGCUGAUGGCGCUCGCUUGUUUGCCGCCACGUCUCCAGGGCGUCAACGAAGGGUGGUGAUUGGCGACUGAUACCACGUGUUAAGUACUCUCUUAGUACCCCAGAAUUGUACUGGAUCGAUUACAAGGAAAACGUUACAAAUCUCUGGAGGAGGAAGAUGAAAUAGGGAAGAAAGGGGAAUUAGGUUACAAGCCGCCGCCAUCCAGUCUGAUCCCAGCCAGGAUGCCCCUCCCCACCUGCUGCGUCCUUUCUUAUCAGUGGGUGGGUACGCUGCUCGGGUCGAACAGGUAGGAAACCCACUGGGGGCCCGUGAACUUAUGGCGCGGUCGUCGCUCCCUCCUGUGCCGGCCUUGCUGGGCCACUUCUAUUCGCUGGCUCGGUGCUCCACCUGCAGGUGGUGUGCUAACAAUGUGAUAUGGUAUCUUGCAGAAAUGGAGCCUGACAAUGUAGUGGAAACCCCCACCGCCCGGUAAAACCCAUGAAAGGUUGUAAUUCUGGUUGAUUGUAGGAUUUGGCCCCAUCGAACGUGCUAUUGCAUACAAGUCCGUUGAAGGGAUGUAAUUUUGGAAUUUAAGUGGAUACUUGAUUGUAAGAUUGCUAUCUUUGGAGAAGAUAACACCAUGAGACUAGUGUAAAAAUAAUAAGCUUGUCAUGAACGGUAAAAUGCAGAGUCAUUUCCUACAAAUAGAUAGUCUCACCUCCAUUUGUUCAGUGCAUUGUCUGAAAGCUUGUGUCAGAAGAAACUGGUGAUGGAUAUGGCCCCUUGCCACUGACGAAGGUUGGCAUUGGUGUUGUGAAGAUCUCAGGUGUAAGCGCCAACUCUAUGCCAUUCACAACUGCAAAGCUCUUUUGGUGCACAUAUGGUGCAAAGAAAUAAUAAGAGAAUAAAUAUUGGAACGUUGCUCUCAAGGAAGGCGCAGUACAUCAGAAGAGUCGUACCUAGGGCUGCAAGAAAAGCUCGAGGCUCGUGAGCUGCUCGAGAUCGACUUGCAUUUUGGCUCGACUCGGGAUCGAUUUGAAAGGAAAUGAACUGAGUAUGAGCACUUUAUGUAUCUCGAUCGAGAAACGAGCUGAUCUUGAGCCAGUAUUGGCUCGCUCGGUUUUAGCUCGAUAGCUCGAUAUCAUAUAAGUAUAUUAAAUAAUUUUCAUGUUUAUUACAAAAAAAUGGUUAGUUUAUUACCAUAUAUAUCGUGUGCGAAUUUUUCUCCAUUUUACUUACUAACAAACAUGGAAGCUUAAUUAAGAGCGAAGAAAAUUUGGGCCUCAAUAUGGUGUGAGAUUAGCAGUAUGUUGACUAUCUUGUUAUUUUUGCCAAAAAUUGAGAGCAGAUGCACCUUUGUUUUCUUCUCUUGCUAGUUCGUCUAUGAUAUCUUAUCUCCAGUUGAUAAAGAAUAAGUCCAAAUUUACAGUGACUUCUUCUGUUGUGGCAUAUCUUAUGUGAAAAUGUGUCUCAAUUAUUUAGAAAAAAAUCAUCUUAUUUAGCUCAAAACUAGCUCGAGAUCGACUCGAGAUCGUUACAAGCUGAGCACGAGCCACUUUCUACAGCUCGACCUUGAGCUCCGCUUAAUUUGAGCUCGCUCGAAUUUUAGUAUGAAUUGAGCUGAGCCUAGUCCAACUCGCUCGAACUCGACUCGUUUGCAGCCCUAGUCGUACCAUGUGAGAGAUUGGAUUUGCUACAUGAUUUGGCAUUAGGCUAGAAAUUAGCUCACAUUGCCAUGUCCCUUGAAGCUCGCCAUCCCCCUGGGCGCCCCUAUAUAUUGUUUAACACGAGGUGGAAACAAUUUGCCCGCCGCAGUGAGUGUAUAAAAGACGCACUGCUUGAUUUCUUCAAUGAACAUACACGAGUCGCAGUGGCUGGAGCUGUUGAUUAAAUCCUCCUGGCAAAUAAAAAUGAUCGUGUAUAAAAAAUAUUAAUCAUAUAUUUCAAAUAAUGUUCAAUAUAUACAAAAAAAAGUCACUGAUAUAUACAAAAAAUGUACAAAUGUGUGUGAAACAAUAUAGUCAUCAAACACAAAGUAUUUGGAAAAGAUUUAACCUUUUUCAGCAAUUUGAACAUGUAUAAAAAAAUGUUCCUGAUGUAUAAUGAAAAGUUUAGAACGUGAAUUUGAAAAAUAAACAUUAAAACAUAAUAUAUUUUUUUUAAAUGAUCGUGCAGAAAAAAAAUGUUUUGUUUUUAUGGGAAGUAUCAAAAAAUGUUAAAUUGUAUCAUAAAAUGUUCCUGAUAUAUACAGAAAAUAUAUAAUGUUUAUGAAAAAAGUAGUCAUCAAACAUAUUUUAAAAAGUAAUAUGAAUCAUGCGUUUUAAAAAUGGUAAACAUAUAUAAAGAAAUGUUCAUGAUGUAUACAAAAAUGUAGAACAUUUAUGAAAAAAAGCCAUCAAAGACAUAUAUUUAGAAAAAUGUUAAUCAUGUAUUUACAAAAUCUUGUUAGUGUAUACGAAAAAUGUAUAGUGUGUAUAAANNNNNNNNNNNNNNNNNNNNNNNNNNNNNNNNNNNNNNNNNNNNNNNNNNNNNNNNNNNNNNNNNNNNNNNNNNNNNNNNNNNNNNNNNNNNNNNNNNNNNNNNNNNNNNNNNNNNNNNNNNNNNNNNNNNNNNNNNNNNNNNNNNNNNNNNNNNNNNNNNNNNNNNNNNNNNNNNNNNNNNNNNNNNNNNNNNNNNNNNNNNNNNNNNNNNNNNNNNNNNNNNNNNNNNNNNNNNNNNNNNNNNNNNNNNNNNNNNNNNNNNNNNNNNNNNNNNNNNNNNNNNNNNNNNNNNNNNNNNNNNNNNNNNNNNNNNNNNNNNNNNNNNNNNNNNNNNNNNNNNNNNNNNNNNNNNNNNNNNNNNNNNNNNNNNNNNNNNNNNNNNNNNNNNNNNNNNNNNNNNNAAAAAAAAAGAAAAUGAAGACCGAAGUAAACCAAUGCAAAAAAUGGAAACAGUGAAACCUGAGAACGAAAGAAAGAAAACGGAGAAAAGAAAUAAAGGAAAAGAGAAAAAAGGAAAAAAAACAACAGUGACCCAGAAAGAAACCAAGAAAAAGUUAUUACUCGCUAAUCAGCCCAGUUAAAAGCGCCGUCAGCCCAUAGCCCAUCCGACCGGACCUCGUCCAUUCACAACGGAGCUCACUCAGAUUCAGAAGCCAUCACCGUCACCGUCGCCGCCGCCGCCGCCGCCGCCGCCGUCCUCGCCUGCACGCCUCUCCUCGAGAUCCGCCUCCGCCUGUCCCCGUGCGCGGCCACGAUCUCACGACCCCGAGCCCUACCCUGCGCCUCCCGCCUCCGGUCUCCGAUCCUCCUCCUAGGUAUGUCAGCACGCACGCGCCCUUGCAUCCCGACGGUCAAUGGCUGAUUAGGACUGAUGUGCGCGUCUGCGCUUCUGCUAGAUCCAUUUCAAUGCCCGCUAUGAUUGUUUGUGCCAUGCGAAGAUCUUGGUCAGUUGAUGACCAGAGAAAGGCAGUUUCAGCUUCCCAUUUAGCGCUAUAUGCUGCUCAGUUGAUGUUCAUGUGUUAUAACUGAGACUUAGAAUCGUCAGCAUCUGAGGCAGUGGCAUAGCAAUAUAUCCAUAUGCAGCAGAUCUUAGAUGUAUACCUGGUGAAAGUAGAGGCAGCGGCAUAGCAGUAUAUGCAUGUUCAGAUCUUAGAUGUAUACCUGGUGAAACUAGAGGCGGUGGCCAGAAUUGUUUUCCUAGUGCACCCCUGAAACUCUAAGCUGAAUGUCGCUUCCCAGCGGCGUGUCGUGCUUUCUAAUCUACCUGCGUGUCAUGUCGUCUGAGAUCAUACCUUGCUUUGAAUUUACAUGAGAUAUACUACCCAUGUCUGAAUCUUCACUGGUUAUAAAUAUUAUGACCCUGCAUUAUUACAUCACCGAUUCCUAAUGCAGUUUGUUACUCCGUGUGAUCCUGUUGUAAGCAUUGGGGGCUCAUCGCAGCCUGACCGACUGUCUAAACUGAAUUAGAAUUUCACUAGUCUUUGUACCUGUUCCCCCUCUCUGCAUCUUACUUUAUGCUGAUUCCUCUGCUGGGCCAGCUCCAGAAUGGGUCUCCUCAGCAUCAUCAGAAAAAUCAAGCGCAAGGAAAAGGAGAUGCGUAUUCUCAUGGUGUAAGCGUCCUGCUCCAUUCCUUUUUUCGCCUUCUUAUUUUACCCCAGAUUCCUCCUAUCCAAACGCAUUAUUUAUUCUCGGUUCUUUGCUUGAUAUGUAUGCUUCUUGACUUUCAAGGUUUGUGCCUUUCAGUUCUUUGUUAAUCGUUAUUCUUAUUCUUGAUUGGUUUAUUUCACCGAUGCCAAAUUUACAGCGGCCUCGACAACUCGGGUAAGACGACAAUUGUGCUCAAGAUAAAUGGGGAGGACACCAGUGUCAUCAGCCCUACUCUUGGCUUUAAUAUCAAGACCAUCCAGUACCAAAAGUAUGUACUACAUUCUUUUGCUUAUUUAUCAAGUUAAAUAUGCCAUUACAAGAAACAUCGCUUCCAGCUGAUGUUAUAUUUGAUCAUUCCAUUUCCAACUCAAGCAAUUUAGGUUGAUGAUUCCAAUUUUAUAGCUGAUGUGAGAAAUUUCAGAGUAAUUUAGUUUGAUGAUUCCAAUUUUAUAGUACCUCUAGGGUAUGCCACUUGUAUUUAGUAUUAACUGAAGGCGUUCUGGAAGAUUUCAUAGUAAUUUUAGCACUUGUAAUAACUGUGUAUGCACUGCAUAGUACCACCUUUUUUCAACAACAACAACAACAAAGCCUUUAGUCCCAAACAAUUUUACCACCUUUUUUCAACAGCGUGAGAAUUUUUCAUGUCUACUUCCUCCGUCCCAAAAUAAGUGUCUCAAGCUUAGUACAACUUUGUACUAAAGCUAGUACAAAGUUAAGACACUUAUUUUGGGACGGAGGGAGUAUUAACCAUUGCAAGUAUGCCAUGCAUUCUGUUAUGUGAAGGGCACCUUAGCCUUCGUAGCUGCAUAAAAUGACUAGAGGAAUCAAUCUGGGCUUGUUCUCUGGAAGUUUAGUGAUUAAUCUAUAACUUCAACAGCUUUAGAUGAUUUCGUUUCAAUUACUGCUGGGGGAGAGUACUGUCGUGUAGUGCUUCAACUAAAAUCAACUGAAGCUGGUCCAGCAGUAUUCAAGGUGUGUAACUAGGUUCUCGGGGGAAAGCUAAGAGAGGAUGACAUCCACAGAUAUGUUUGGGAAUUUUGUAGGUUGUAUUGCUCCACAACCACAAACAUCAGUGUAGUUUGGCACCGAUGUUUUCAAGUGGAAAGAGCAGACGAUAAUAUUUAAAUUCAACACCGGCGCAGUGCAAUUUGGAUAACUUAUGAAUUGACAAUUUUAGAGACAGGGUAGGACAACGGUGACACCGAACAGUACUAUCAAGCAAUAUGAUGGUUUGUUUUAGCUUGUUUUUAAGUCUACGUCAGUCAGCAUCUGUUGUGUUUUCAGCCUACUGUGAAGCAUGCUGUGUGGAUGGUCGUAUUUUUAGCAUUUAAAGUAGGCAAUGCAAUUACUAAUCUGCAUUAAUCUGAAAAAGCACUAAACCACAUCUGUUGUGUUUUAGCUUGUUUUCAAGUGGGAAGAGGAGAUGAUAAUAUUUAAAUCCAACAGUGAUGCAGCGCAACUUGUAUAACUUAUGAUCAGAAAAUUGACAAUUUUUAACUGUGACACCAAAUGGUACAAUCAAGCAAACUGUGAUGGUUCACUUUAGCUUGUUUUUAGGUCUUCGUCAGUCGGCAUCUGUUGUGUUUUCAGCCUACUACGAAGCAAGCUGCAUGGGUGGUUGUACUUUUAGCAUUCAAAGUAGGCAAUGCAAUUGAUAAUCUGCAUUAAUCUGAGAAAGUAGUAAAUCACAUUGGUGAAAAUACAACAUAUUUGGAUUGAAAUUUUGACAGCUGCUUGAUGCUCAUUACUCAUGAAUCAUGGUGGUCAAAAACUCAAAAUGCAAUUAGUACAGCCAUAGGGAACAGCAGAACAAAUUCCGAAGAAUUGAUAAUGGCGCUGAUUGUGGCAGGUACUCGCUGAACAUAUGGGAUGUUGGGGGGCAGAAGACCAUCCGUUCGUAUUGGAGGAACUACUUCGAGCAGACUGACGGUCUAGUUUGGGCGGUUGACAGUUCCGAUGUCCGAAGGCUCGAUGAUUGCCGUGCUGAGCUCCACAAUCUUUUGAAAGAAGAGGUAAAUUGCCUAGUGAAUACCACUGACCUUCUGCUUUAGCGUGCUUUGCCUUGAAAUUUUGCUUCAAAUUACUUUGCUGAAUACUAGCAAUUGCUGUCUAGCAUCAGGAAACUCUUGGGACUGCAAAUUUGAUUACCUGGCAUGUUUGUGCUUAACUUAUGUGCUAUCUUGUUCAACUAUUUGGUGAUCCUUAAAGUAUUGCUUACAGAGACUGGCUGGAUCAUCGCUGUUAGUUUUCGCGAAUAAGCAGGACAUUCAGGGCGCUUUGAAGCCCGACGAAAUCGCCAAGGUAAAACACACUAUCACUAGUCCACUAGUAUGUAUAUAUGGACCCUCAUGUAUCGGUCAAUCUUCUUACCUGGAGUCGGAUGAUGUUAUGAUCCACUUGUGAUCUUCAAUUAAGGAAUAGCCAAAACCUCGGAAAAUAAUCCCAGCAAGCUUAUACAUCACAUACAUACUAGUUUGUGGUCUUUGCUCGAGAUGCUCUUUGUCUUCUUUAAUUGACAUGUUCAGUUGUGUCUUCUGAGUUCGAUGGUAACCGAGUUGAGUUUUUGGAUCCAGGUUCUGAACCUUGAAGCGAUGAACAAGGACCGGCACUGGAAGAUCGUCGGCUGCAGCGCCUACACCGGGGACGGCCUGCUCCAGGGCUUCGACUGGCUGGUCCAGGACAUCGCCUCCCGCAUCUAUGUCCUCGACUGAAACAACAACCAAACUCUGGACAUUUAGCCAUAUGCACCACUGUUAUUGGUUACACAGCCAUAGGCAUGCUGCUGCUUUGGCUGCCUUGUAACAUGUAUGUAAUUUGAUAAGUUUGAACCAAACCAUAGAUGACACUUUUGUUAUGCAAUCUCCUUGCUCAGUUGGAUAGCGUUGGAGACGGCAAGUUUUGCAUCUUAUUCAGCACAGAACACAAAAGAUCCUUGGAUUGAAGUUCCAUUAAUCAGAUCAAGUUUUAUUUCUAAGCAACUCGGGAACAUGAAGUUGAAAUCGCUAGUAAUCACAGAUCAGCAAAGCAAUGUAGCACAUCAUCAGAUCAAGAUUAUGUGAAAGACUAUGCUGAAUUGGCAGCAAGUUUUGCAUGCUUCACAGAGCAAUUCAAUCCUUAUAGCUUGAAGAAAGUUGAAUGGAUGCUUCAGAACAAGAGAAAUUUAAGGAACAAAGAGAGAGGAUAUUUCGCAGCUAUGACUUGCAUUUUCUUCAUCCAUUUAAACUUGUUCAAACAUAGGAUAUUCCAACAUCACAUCCCAAUCCAUGACAGAAGGGGAUUGCUGCAUCACCGACUGACCGACCGACCGACCGACUGAAAGAUAGUAACACAUGUUGUUUCUUCCUCGCGUAACCAGCUCUAAUUAACCCCGGACAGAGCGACACUCGAGCUCGCGAUCAAAAACACCACACACACGACGACUCAGACUGACACAGGAACACGACGACACCGAAGAUAACUUGCUAACGAAGACGACGACGACGACACGGUAGAUAGAUCGAUAACUGGGAGAUUCGAGGCUCAGUUCCUCCACUG
rnacentral:lncRNA from 1 species